rnacentral:lncRNA from 1 species
GGGGGUAAGAUGUACGCAGUCCAUACCUCUACCUCUGAUGAAGUAGAAAGGCUGUUUCCGAUAGACCCUCGGCUCAAGACACGAGAUACCACACAAACACAUAGUAAAGCACAGAAGUAGAUUACAUAACAUAAAUAUGGCACCCAUAAGUAAUAUAAAACAGAGGAAAGCAGAGGAAAGCACACAGAUUCGUAAUAAAACAUGGAAGACGGAAGACGGAAACAUAACAGGAAUGAAAUCCCAACCAAGUAAUUCCUUACACUAGCGACCCAAACUGGCCCUAAUCCUCUGCCGAAAUUCGCGCCCUCCAGACCUUCCUAUCUAGGGUCAUGUCCUCGGUGAGCUGUAACUGUUCCAUGUACCGCCUAAUCACCUCGCCCCAGUACUUCUUCGGCCUACCCCUACCCCGCCUAAAACCAUCCAACGCUAGCCUCUCACACCUACGGACCGGGGCAUCCAUGCCCCUCCUCUUCACGUGUCCGAACCAUCUCAAUCGUGCUUCCCGCAUCUUACACUCCACUGAAGUCACACCAACCUUCUCCCGGAUAGUCUCAUUCCGAACUCUAUCCCCUCGAGUCAGUCC